rnacentral:miRNA from 1 species
UGCUGCAGCUGGUGUUGUGAAUCAGGCCG